AGACAAAGAUUUACUCUUUCUGCUUUAGAUGUUUCAUUACUUGCUUAGUUCUAUGUUUUGUUUUGUUUUGUUGCAAGGAUGAGCAAAAAUAUUUUUUGAAAGC
rnacentral:sRNA from 1 species